AUAUUCGCGAAGUCUCUGAGGCUGAGGCAGUGGCGUAAGGGGCGCGGAGCGCUGCCGAGAUGUGGGCUGCGUGCGUAAAGCCGGAGAGCCCUUUUGAGUCUGCGUUGGUGUGGCUGCUGCUUCUUGCUCCAGUCCCUUUGUUCGCUGAGUCGAUAUCCCAUGCUCCAGUUGUAUCAUCCCCUUUUCUCCCGACCUCGUUUUCUCACCGGGAAUAUGGGAAGAAAACGCACCUUUACCUCCCCGGAGCCCUGUGCGUGGCGAGUGAGCAUUGCUUUUCUUGGCGCCCCUUGGAGCUGUGGCUGCCCUCGCGUGCCUGGCCUCUCCAGGGGCCGGGCCCGUCGGGUUGAGGCCUGGCGCCCCCGGGCGCAGUGCCGGGACACUACCCAAUUCCAGGUCCUCGGCUUCGGCAGCCUUAGGGAACCCAGAGAGUAGUGGGGAGGAGGCGAGACUUGCGCCCUGAUGCGAAAGGAGAGCUUCAUUCAGCUCCUUAUUGGCCCACCCCCUGCAGAGUGAAUGAGAAGGGGAUGAAAGGAAGGGGUUGAUUGUCUUUCUUUGUACCGCACACAAGAAGCAGCUUUUCCCAUAGGAAUGUCCCGCUGGCGGUCACCGAGGAAAACACCCUGUGUGUCAGACUUCCGCGGGUGUUUGGAGGAUUUCAAAAUGCUGGCUCCUGGGUGGUUUUGUUUUGUUUUGUUUUUUAAGUGCACGUUAAACAUUGUCAGUUGUGUAUUUUCAUUUUAUUUAGGGUCAACCAUAAUAAAUAGGAUUAGGCUUUUCAAAGCCGGCAAGUUGAACUUUGUAUACUUCUCAGGUAAUGUGUUGAUGGGUACCUUAUUCCAUCGGUUGCGACACUGUGGCUACACUAAAAUGGAGUCAUACUUCCAUAAACUUAAACAACAAAAAUGUCCCCAUCUCCAUUUUAACAUGUAGUACUUUCACAGUGUAUAGUCAAAGGCAAGAAUGUGUGUGUUUUAACAUGAAUGACUUUUAAAGAAAGUGUUCAGUAAGAGGCAGGAUUUUCAAAGACCCAAACUUAACCUUUGAUGUGUCAAAACAGCUCUUGGUAUUAGAGCACCUGGUCCUUAAUACAAUUUUCAGGAAAAUUGCAGUUUUUCCUGCGACAUUUAAACGUGAUAACAGAAGGCUGUGGUGUGGCUCUACAGGUUUCUAAUACAAUUCCAGCAUCUGUAGAUCUUUGCUAUAGAAUAAAGUCAGCAUUCCCCACCUUACUGUUACUACACUUACUGCUAUUAAAUCAAUUUUACUUGAACUUUAAAACUUGGAAGAGAUAUUCUAAAAAUAUAUAUAUAUAUUUUGGGGUGGUGGUGGUGGUGUAAGUUUUGUUUUAAAUACAAGAGGUUUCACUUUGUAAUUUUUUGGACCCUUCUAGCUUCAUGAUAACACCAGAAUAAUGUUUCUUUAUAAUUUCUGUAGGGCUUUAAGGUUUGGAAAAAUGAAUUUAGUAUAUGUGAUAUUUUGACAUAACUGGUUUACAUUCCAUAUAUCUGAUAAUGAACGAAUACAUUAGUUUACUAGGAAGAACAAUAGUUUUUUUCAAAUUGAAAUCUAUUAAGUGAGGGAAAUAAACAUUGAAACUUUCUAAAGUUUCCAUCACAUCAUGGAUAUAUGAAAAUUCAAUAGCACUUUGGGAGGCCAAGGUGGAAGGAUCCCUUGAGCCCAGGAGUUGGAGACCAAUCAGGGCAACAUAGGGAAACCCCCCUUCCCCCGUCUCUAAAAUUUAAAAGUUAAAAAAAGAUCCGGAUGUGGUGACAUGCAUUUGUAGUAUCAGCUACUUGGGAGGCUGACAUGGGCAAAUCCCUUAAGCCCAGAACUUUGAGGCUGCAAUGAGCCGUGAUCACGCCACUGCACUCCAGCCAGGGCAAUAGAGUGAGACCCUGUCUCAAAAAAAAAAAAAAAAAAA
ensembl:lncRNA